rnacentral:snRNA from 1 species
GUGCUCACUUUGGCAGCACAUGUACCAAACUGGAAUGAUACAGCCAAGAUUAGCAUGGCCCCUGAGCAAGGACAGGCAAAUUUGUGAAGUGAUCCAUAUUUUU